UACGUAGGGUGCGAGCGUUGUCCGGAAUUAUUGGGCGUAAAGGGCUCGUAGGCGGUUUGUCGCGUCGGGAGUGAAAACAUCCAGCUUAACUGGGUGCUUGCUUUCGAUACGGGCAGACUUGAGGCAUGCAGGGGAGAAUGGAAUUCCUGGUGUAGCGGUGAAAUGCGCAGAUAUCAGGAGGAACACCGGUGGCGAAGGCGGUUCUCUGGGCAUGUCCUGACGCUGAGGAGCGAAAGUGUGGGGAGCGAACAGGAUUAGAAACCCCCGUAGUCC
rnacentral:rRNA from 1 species